UACGGAGGGUGCAAACGUUGCUCGGAAUCAUUGGGCGUAAAGCGAACGUAGGCGGCUAUGUAAGUCGGGUGUGAAAGCCCAGAGCUCAACUCUGGAAGUGCAUUCGAAACUGCAUGGCUUGAGUAGCGGAGAGGAUAGCGGAAUUCCCGGUGUAGAGGUGAAAUUCGUAGAUAUCGGGAGGAACACCAGUGGCGAAGGCGGCUAUCUGGACGCAUACUGACGCUGAAGUUCGAAAGCGUGGGGAGCAAACAGG
rnacentral:rRNA from 1 species